ACCUGCCCGCGACUCCCAAGCCUCCCCUGAGCUGUUGAAAUGAAAGAGGAAGGCUGCCGGCAAAGCUGCGCCACACUCCGGCGCCUCUGUGCUGGCGGCCUUCCCCCUUCGUUUUGACAGCUUGGGGGAGGCUUGGGAGUCGCGGGCAGGU